rnacentral:rRNA from 1 species
UACGAAGGGGGCUAGCGUUGUUCGGAAUCACUGGGCGUAAAGCGCUCGUAGGCGGAUCUUUAAGUCAGAGGUGAAAUCCCAAGGCUCAACCUUGGAACUGCCUUUGAUACUGGGGUUCUCGAGUCCGGGAGAGGUGAGUGGAACUGCGAGUGUAGAGGUGAAAUUCGUAGAUAUUCGCAAGAACACCAGUGGCGAAGGCGGCUCACUGGCCCGGUACUGACGCUGAGGAGCGAAAGCGUGGGGAGCAAACAGG